AUACCAUGAUGAGGAAAUUUUCUCAACAGCUCAUUCAAUCUUUCCCAAGAGUCAUAUAAAGAUUCCCCAUCCAGCCGAUAAAAAUUAUUAAUUUCCCCCCUUAGUUU